rnacentral:rRNA from 1 species
GUGGGGAAUAUUGGACAAUGGGGGGAACCCUGAUCCAGCCAUGCCGCGUGUGUGAAGAAGGCCUUUUGGUUGUAAAGCACUUUAAGCGAGGAGGAGGCUACCGAGAUUAAUACUCUUGGAUAGUGGACGUUACUCGCAGAAUAAGCACCGGCUAACUCUGUGCCAGCAGCCGCGGUAAUACAGAGGGUGCAAGCGUUAAUCGGAUUUACUGGGCGUAAAGCGCGCGUAGGUGGACAAUUAAGUCAAAUGUGAAAUCCCCGAGCUUAACUUGGGAAUUGCAUUCGAUACUGGUUGGCUAGAGUAUGGGAGAGGAUGGUAGAAUUCCAGGUGUAGCGGUGAAAUGCGUAGAGAUCUGGAGGAAUACCGAUGGCGAAGGCAGCCAUCUGGCCUAAUACUGACACUGAGGUGCGAAAGCAUGGGGAGCAAACAGGAUUAGAACCCGUGUAGUCC